UACAGGGGGGGGCAAGCGUUGUUCGGAAUUACUGGGCGUAAAGGGUCUGUAGGUGGCCAACUAAGUCAGACGUGAAAUCCCUCAGCUUAACUGGGGAACUGCGUCUGAUACUGGAUGGCUUGAGUGUGGGAGAGGAAUGCGGAAUUCCAGGUGUAGCGGUGAAAUGCGUAGAGAUCCGGAGGAACCCCAGAGGCGAAGGCGGCGCCCUGGCUCGCAACUGACGCUCAGACACGACAGCAUGGGGAGCGAACGGG
rnacentral:rRNA from 1 species